AAUAGAUGACGCCGUUGACUUUUUCUCACAUGUUUGACCAUUCGUCUUAUUCAAAAAAUUUACGUAAUUAUAAUUUAUUUUGUUAUGAGUUGUUUUAUCACUCAUAGAACUUUAAGUGUGAUUUAUAUCUUAUACAUUUGUAUAAAAUUUUUGAAUAAGACGAAUGGUCAAACAUGUGAGAAAAAGUUAACGGCGUCAUCUAUU
rfam:Oryza sativa Japonica Group DNA, chromosome 1, cultivar: Nipponbare, complete sequence.